rnacentral:rRNA from 1 species
AACCGUGCARAGGUAGCAUAAUCACUUGCCUAUUACUUGUAGGCUAUAGGAUGAAAGGAAAAAACGAAAUAUAAGCUCUCUCGAURAGAAAAAAAUAAAUUUCUANNUGAAAAGUGUUAGAUAUAAUCGAAGGACAAGAAGACCCUAUAUNUAGAGCUUUAUCCAAAAAAGAAAUUAUAUCUUUAUAAGAUUCGGUUGGGGCGACCAAGAUACUUUCAAUCAUCCUUCAUCAACAGAUUUAUAGAUCUCAAUUUUUAUUCUGAGCAUACAACGCAAAAUAAGCUACCUUAGAGAUAACAGGCUAAUUCUGAUAGAGAGUCCUUAGCUAAAGGAGAGAUUGGCACCUCGAUGUUGGCUUAGGGAAACUAUAUGACGCAAAAGUCACAUAAAGAAGGUUUGUUCAACCAAUAAAUCCCUACAUGAGCUGAGUUGAGACCGCUUAAGCCAGGUUAGUUUCUAUCCACAAUAAAAUAUAGCCUAGCCAUAGUACGAAAGGACCUGGAUAAGGGUAAUUAUUACAGCUAACGAAUUAAUGUAACUUUUUUUUUAAUUCAUAAUACUAAAAACUAU